rnacentral:rRNA from 1 species
GCCAGACUCCUACGGGAGGCAGCAGUGGGGAAUAUUGCACAAUGGGCGCAAGCCUGAUGCAGCCAUGCCGCGUGUAUGAAGAAGGCCUUCGGGUUGUAAAGUACUUUCAGCGGGGAGGAAGGUGCUGAGGUUAAUAACCUCAGCAAUUGACGUUACCCGCAGAAGAAGCACCGGCUAACUCCGUGCCAGCAGCCGCGGUAAUACGGAGGGUGCAAGCGUUAAUCGGAAUUACUGGGCGUAAAGCGCACGCAGGCGGUCUGUCAAGUCGGAUGUGAAAUCCCCGGGCUCAACCUGGGAACUGCAUUCGAAACUGGCAGGCUGGAGUCUUGUAGAGGGGGGUAGAAUUCCAGGUGUAGCGGUGAAAUGCGUAGAGAUCUGGAGGAAUACCGGUGGCGAAGGCGACUUUCUGGACUGUACCUGACGCUGAGGCGCGAAAGCGUGGGUAGCGAACGGGAUUAGAUACCCUAGUA